GCCCUUAGAGUUUGAUCCUGGCUCANGAUGAACGCUAGCGGCAGGCCUAACACAUGCAAGUCGAGGGGUAAAGAGUAGCUNGCUACNGCUGACGACCGGCGCACGGGUGCGUAACGCGUAUACAAUCUACCUUUUGCUGAGGGAUAGCCCAGAGAAAUUUGGAUUAACACCUCAUAGUAUGCAGACUNCUCAUGGAGAUUGCAUUAAAGGUUACGGCAAAAGAUGAGUAUGCGUCCUAUUAGCUAGAUGGAGUGGUAACGGCACACCAUGGCAACGAUAGGUAGGGGCCCUGAGAGGGGGAUCCCCCACACUGGUACUGAGACACGGACCAGACUCCUACGGGAGGCAGCAGUGAGGAAUAUUGGACAAUGGAGGCAACUCUGAUCCAGCCAUGCCGCGUGCAGGAAGNNUGCCCUAUGGGUUGUAAACUGCUUUUAUACAGGAAGAAAACAGUCCCCUCGUGAGGGAUCUUGACGGUACUGUAAGNAAUAAGGAUCGGCUAACUCCCGUGCCAGCAGCCCGCGGUAAUAAGGGCG
rnacentral:rRNA from 1 species